GUGGGGAAUAUUGGACAAUGGGGGGAACCCUGAUCCAGCCAUGCCGCGUGUGUGAAGAAGGCCUUUUGGUUGUAAAGCACUUUAAGCGAGGAGGAGGCUUACCUGGUUAAUACCUGGGAUAAGUGGACGUUACUCGCAGAAUAAGCACCGGCUAACUCUGUGCCAGCAGCCGCGGUAAUACAGAGGGUGCGAGCGUUAAUCGGAUUUACUGGGCGUAAAGCGCGCGUAGGUGGUUAAUUAAGUCAAAUGUGAAAUCCCCGAGCUUAACUUGGGAAUUGAAGUCGAUACUGGUUAGCUAGAGUAUGGGAGAGGAUGGUAGAAUUCCAGGUGUAGCGGUGAAAUGCGUAGAGAUCUGGAGGAAUACCGAUGGCGAAGGCAGCCAUCUGGCCUAAUACUGACACUGAGGUGCGAAAGCAUGGGGAGCAAACAGGAUUAGAUACCCUGGUAGUCC
rnacentral:rRNA from 1 species